GGGCUAUAUGGGUUCAGAUCCCCCUACUGAAAGGGCCCCUGUGUAUGAAGCCACAUAACCAAGGAAGAAAAUCUAGGAUUACUAGUACAUCUUUCUAAAAUACAGUGUGACUUCAUGCACACGGUCACCAAGACCAACCUCACAUUAGCAAAUAUGAGUUUUCAUUUUUGGCCCCCGUGGAACCUCCACCUUCCACGACUUUGCUCCACACCCCGC
rnacentral:lncRNA from 1 species